ACACGUGUUACAAUGGCCGGUACAGAGGGCAGCUACCUGGAGACAGGAUGCGAAUCUCGAAAGACCGGUCUCAGUUCGGAUCGGAGUCUGCAACUCGACUCCGUGAAGCUGGAUUCGCUAGUAAUCGCGCAUCAGCCAUGGCGCGGUGAAUACGUUCCCGGGUCCUU
rnacentral:rRNA from 1 species